UACGUAGGGUGCAAGCGUUGUCCGGAAUUAUUGGGCGUAAAGAGCUCGUAGGCGGUCUGUCGCGUCUGCUGUGAAAACCUAGGGCUUAACUCUGGGCGUGCAGUGGGUACGGGCAGGCUAGAGUGCGGUAGGGGAGACUGGAAUUCCUGGUGUAGCGGUGAAAUGCGCAGAUAUUAGGAGGAACACCGGUGGCGAAGGCGGGUCUCUGGGCCGUAACUGACGCUGAGGAGCGAAAGCAUGGGGAGCGAACAGG
rnacentral:rRNA from 1 species